UUCACCCUCUCCUGCAGCGUGCGCAACUCCACCACCCACUUCUGCGGUGUGUGGGGGGGGGUGGGGUCACCCCACAAGCAGAGGCCUGAGGUGGUGCCGCCUCGGGUUUGCCCCUCCACCCAGGGUUGAGCUGACGGAGGAAGGCAAGCCCCGGAGGGCCCAGGGGGGGCCUACUCAAGGCCACUGGGGACCACAUGGCCCUUCCCUGCUUGGUGGGAGCCGGGUUCCUGGCCAUGCCAUCACCCCUGACAAAUCAACCCUGGGGGCUGAGGGAAGCCGCUUGACCUGAGGGGCCUGCCAGCAUCCCAGCAUCCGGGCCCGGCCUCCUCAAGGGUUGGGUAGGAGCCGCCCGGGCAUGUCCCUCCCUCUUUCCGCCAGCCCCUUGCUCUCCUCUGCUUUUCUGCCAUCUGAUGUUUCCCUCUUGAAAGGCUUUUUCUUAGGACUCUGUCCAGCACUAACUGCCCCCUAUUGUAAGGGCCUUCCCCUAAAUACAGUAUAGUACGGCCCCGUCUUCAGGGUGGUCUUAAAGCUUCUCCAGAUUCCAUCCCCCCCACCCGGCUCCCCCAGCCCACGGUGGUGGAACAUGGGGUGUAGCAGGAUUAUUUCAGUGCUCCCCCCACCCCCCGUGUGCUUGCGGGUGAUGGAGCACUGAGGGAAACCCGAUGGCAUGGCCAGGACUGCUGGCCUGCCCCCGCCCCAGCCGCUUACCUGCUUGUACCACUCCUGGAUGGCGUGGACAGACAGCGGGCCCUGGAUGCUCCCGUCCCGCCGCAAGAACACCUCCCCCUGGUCAGUCUCAUAGAGCUGCGGCUCGGCCUGGGCCCUGGGGGCGCGCACCCUCAGGCGGAUCACCUUGGUCAGGGCGACAGUGACUCUGGUCGCUAAUCCCACCUGGCUGGCUCUUCCGGGCUCCUGGGGCAGCCUGGUGGGCGUGGGGGCAAGGGGGCACUUCUGGCCUCUCCGGUCACUCUGCCCAGCCCCCCUCUGCCCCCACCCUCCACCCCCCAGCCCUGCUCAGCAGAGCCGAAUGGGGCCGUCACGCGGGGGCCAGACAGGCCCAGGGCUCACCUUGAGGGGGGUGGGGGAGGCGAUGGUGCUGACCACGGGGAUGAAAGAGAGUGUGUAGGCGUCGGGGAAGACCUGGGGCUGGAAACCCUGCAGGAUGGAGUCCACCAGCAGGCGCACACGGUCCUCGUCGCGGUGGCUGCAGGGGACGCCCCGCACCAGGCCGCUGUCCUCGACGCCCACGAACAGGCUGCCGCCCUCGCCGUUGAGGAAGGCGCACGCGUAGCGCCGCAGGUGGUGCUUGAAGGCCAGGCUCAGGUACUCGCCGCCGCCGCGCUUGAACUCCACGCUGCGUGUCUCGCUGCCCAGGAAGGCGCCCUGGAAGAGGCGCUCCUGGCCCGGGACCUCCUGGUGCACGAUGGCGCUGUCGGAGCGUGCGCCGCUGGGCCGGUCCUGGGACCUCUGCGGGGCCCGUGCCGGGGGGCUGUUGGCAGGGCUGGGGCUCGGGCUCCGGCUGCUGUUGUCCUCCCGCUGGGGUGAGGGGUGAGAGUAAGGAGCCUCGGGGGACAGGACAAGAGGGACGGGACACACCUCCUUCCGCCUGGGGCCCAGCCUGCUCGGGCAUCCUAAUGCCCCGUCCCAGGCGAAAGGGCCUAACUGCCCACCGUCCUGCAGCCAGUGCUGGAAACCUGCUAAGUCAAGGGUUUGAGCCGCCACUGCUCCUUCCUGCUGGGCUAUGGUAUGCAUGGUGAGGACAAGGAGUUCUCCUUCUCAGGUCGGGGGCCAGAACCCCGGAGGCCAAUCUCUUCCCACUUAGGUUGUAGACUGGCCUCUGAGGCUCGGGGCCAAGAUCAUUCCAACAGAUAACCCCCUUCUUGUCUCCCUGAAAUGCCUGCCUAUCGCUUUCUGGACCACUGAUCAGUCCUGAAUCUCAACCCUCCUCUGGCCCUCCUGAGACCCUUUCCGUGGUUUCUGUUUUGUUCUCGGGCUCUGUGCAUGAGCAGACUCAUGGCCACCGGCCUCUUCUGGGCCUCAUCACGGCCUCCGUACCUCCCAUCCACCCUCCUUGCUGACCCUGGACGCAAGAAGAUUCUCACUCCUCCCUUACUGGGUUCUCUGCUGCUGUCCCCGGCUCCUUGCUGCCUCCCAGUCUCCAGCAGGGGCUUCCGGGGCUGGGAGUGCCGUGCGGGCUGGGGCAUGGUGGUGAGGGGCGCAUCCCUACCAGCCCUGCAGUUCCCAAAGGAAACAGUUUCUCAGAAACACGAGAAACUGCCACACAAACAUGAAGUCAGGCUCACAGGUCUUGAAAUGUCAGUCACAGAGCUGUUCAGUUCUGCAACCAUUUGAACACCACGGAGUUUUCAUCCCGAAAGAAAAGGAAAACCAAGAUCACCUGUCUCACAGAGUGUCCUGCCACAGCUGCAGUGAGUUGACUGCUCCCUCCCAUCCCCCAUAAAGGCCCACCUUCCCUCCCUCCCCCUGCUUCGGUCUCGAAGCCCUUCCUGGCCCCUGCCCUCUGGCCCAGCUUUCUUCCUCAGCUCCCCAGCAGCCUUCAACCUGAGCUCCAGCGGCACCAAAAGGCUUGCCCUUCUGCAAAUGCAACAUCCCCCCUCACUGUGUCCCCCUGCCUAGAACGACCUUGUGCUCCCCGAGUCCCAGCUUAGACUUCAGCCCUUCUGUGAAUCUGUCCCCACAGCUCUGUGUCCUCCCACGGCUCCAGGCUGCCGAAGCGCUGUAACUGGUUCUGUCUGGCUCUGCUCAAAGAUGAGGGCUCUUUAAGGCAGGGCCGAGCCUUUGCUUUCUGCUGUGCAGCCUGGCCUGGAGCGGGCACUGAUGUUGGCCAGCCGAGUGGAUGAGGUGGGCCAAAGAGAAAACCCUGAAGGCCCGGGCUGGCCCAGACCCAGAGGAUGGAAUACAGAAGGGCCCAGGGAGCAGUCCCCACACUUUGGCCCUUCUCCAGACGCUUCCAGGCUGGAGGCAAACUGUGAAGGUCAGCGAGCCUCCCCAGAGUCAGCAGGCAGUGCCAGCCUCAGGCUAUGCUCAUUUGAGUAGCAGCCCGCAGGUUUGCAGAUCUGCCCCCGGCUCCUCAAAGACGCACCUCCACCCCUGCCCAGGCUUCUCCCCGCCCCCGGGUGAGGCUCUGGGGCUUGCAGGCUUGGUGGCUCCAGAAGCGCCCCUUUUACCUCUCUGCCGCGCGAGGGCCCUCGGCCGUCACCCAACACCAGCUCCUUCCCGCGGGCCACCAGCUCCUUGAGGAUCUGGUGCUCCUCCACGGCCGUCUGCAGGCGCCAGGGGAGGGAGGCCAGGCUGUCCCUGUGGGUGGUCACCUGCACCAGUGCGUAGGCCUUCCGUGGUCGCCUCACCACCUCGAUGUGCUCCCGUGCCACCGGCAGCCCCAGCCGUUCCAGGGCGUCUCGCAGCAGGCAGGUCCUCCGGUGCCACGAGUCCGCAUCUUCCCCUUCGUGACCAAUCCCAGGCUCCGCUGAGCACUGAUGACCCAGCUACUCCCAAGACGGAUCUGAGCACACGCCGCUGGGCCCAGGGCUGCCCCGGACCCCAGGCCCCCUGCUCCACGCCAGAGACAGAGGUUGCUGUCCGGCCGGAGCCCUGAAAAAUAGGGACACUGAGGCAGAGGCUUGGCUGGGGAAGCCCAGAGAGGAGACCGAGGCCGUCAGGCGCAGCGUGAGGCUCUGGAAGAGCCUGGCAGGUGCCCUCCCCGUGCCCACCCCGGCAUGACGGCUGUGAGCUCCCCAUGCUCCCCCUCCUCUCUUUCAGGCCUGUCUAGACUCUGCCAACACGAGCUGCUCUCACGGCAACCACGCAGCAGGGGCUGUAGCUGCCGAAGAAGAAGGCUACGUGGGGUCGUGGCUGGCCAGGAGAGGCACCCUGACGGACGGAACAUGUGAACAUGUGAACCAGAGGACGUGACUCACUUCUCCAGGGGCCUUGCUAUCAGGCAGCCUUUUGCGUGAGGUUUUCCACGCUGAUCUGUGCCCAAGCUCUCCCCACUCUUACUGGGGGUCUCUUUAAACACCUGC